rnacentral:rRNA from 1 species
GACGAACGCUGGCGGCGUGCUUAACACAUGCAAGUCGAACGGAAAGGCCCUGCUUGCAGGGUACUCGAGUGGCGAACGGGUGAGUAACACGUGGGUGAUCUGCCCUGCACUUCGGGAUAAGCCUGGGAAACUGGGUCUAAUACCGGAUAGGAGCCAUCUUUAGUGUGAUGGUUGGAAAGUUUUUUCGGUGUAGGAUGAGCUCGCGGCCUAUCAGCUUGUUGGUGGGGUAAUGGCCUACCAAGGCGGCGACGGGUAGCCGGCCUGAGAGGGUGGACGGCCACAUUGGGACUGAGAUACGGCCCAGACUCCUACGGUAGGCAGCAGUGGGGAAUAUUGCACAAUGGGCGCAAGCCUGAUGCAGCGACGCCGCGUGGGGGAUGACGGGCUUCGGGUUGUAAACUCCUUUCGCUAGGGACGAAGCUUUUUGUGACGGUACCUAGAGAAGAAGCACCGGCUAACUACGUG